CAGAGAAAAAAAAUCUCCAGGUCGUGUCUAUCGCCUCCUCCCCUCCCAAUCUUCCCCCAAAUCUUUCCCCAUGCCAGUGGUUAGAGCCGGAGGAGCUCCAUCACGACCUUGCUGUUCUCCGAGCCCUCCUCGCGCCGGUGGACUAGCACGCAGGUGGUGAGAGUGGGGGAGCUCCCUCACGUCGUGGCUCUACUCUGGGAGUCUGGGUCAUCCUCGCACCGGCGGCCUCGGACGAAUCAGAGACGGCCAUCUCGGCGCAGCCCGGGUUCCAUCGGGAUGGGUCACUGGCCUACCCCCGCCUCCUCGCUGCCUCCAUCAACGCCGGCAAGAGCUGGAGUUGCCUGAUGCAAUCAUUCCCGCCACGGCCCUGCAAGCCAUCACCGCGCAACUGAUUCCUGCUCGCACAGGCGGCCUCGGAUGCACCUGAUGCGGCCAUCCCCAGGCAGCGGAUUGAGUAUGUGCGCUCGACCCUCCUCUGCUUCGGGCCCUCCCUGUGCCGGCCGCCCUUGCCUUCACGCAACUGUGCCUAAGGACAUGAUUCGAAGUUUUAGCUGCAGUUGGCUUACCCUGAUGGAUACCAUUAGGAACUUCUCCACCGCCAGCAACAUCAUCCUUUGAAGUCGUCCGGAUGACUGGUGUUGUUCAACCUUUGCAAAUGAUGAGAGGAAGACAAGGAGAAUGAUGCAAUAUUGAGCAUUGCCAAUGCAUCUACUUAUUGGACGUGGACUGUCAUAUUCCCAUCGGCAUAUCAAAUAUAUUUCUUUAUAGCAACGCCAUGGAUUUCCUAUCAUGUUUAGCUUCACUCCAAGGCAAGCUACACCCCCACCUCUCUCUCAUGGAAUUUUUAUAGAACACUAUCAAUGAGACUGAACCUCAUGUCUUUUGGAUUUGUCAUUGACUUUUCCAUUUAUUUGAGGCCCAAUCAAAAAAGUUUAUGUAAUUUUCUGGCUGACUUUCUUUGCCUACCUGCCCGGGACACUUUUAUAUUGAGAACUAUAGUUGGUGCAUUUAAGAUCUGAACAUAUGUUUGGUACAAGGUAAUUAUGCCAGUAGCGUUUUGGGGGAUUAGUACACUUGAAUUCUUAGAAGACACUCUUUUCGACCCAUAGCAGCAAGAUUUUGGUCUUCAACUCUUUUGCAGGAAGAGUGCUACUGAUAAUACAAAGGUAUACAUGAAAUAAUAGAUUACUGAAGAGUUGAUCAGCUCAACUCCGUUGAAAUAUCUUAAGAGGAUGAGAUAAAUACCUUCGCAAAAAAGCAUAAUGUACGCAGUACCAUCUGAAAGGAAAAUUACUAUCUCCAAGACUUCAACCACCUUAUAUGUAAUGCCUCUGCCUAUUGUUGACUCUCAUUUGUGUGCCAUAUAGUACAUUUAUGUACUUGAGAUAAGAUGUAACAUUUUAAAGUUAUGCUGUUUAUAUCACCUUACGUUAUGUGUGAUAUUAGGUUAUUCCCAUUUAAUACAAUUUUUCAUUAAUUGUCCAUAUUUCUAUGGGAAACAACAUCGUUUAUAAAUGACGCAAGAGCAUAUUUAUCUUUA